AUGAGUAACACAACCAUCCCAAUAAUGAACUGGAAUGUCCGCGGAUUGAACUCUCCGGCGAAGAGGGCCACCAUCUGCGAAGUGGCCGACGCCCACAGCCUAGCUCUAUUGUGUUUGCAAGAGAUGAAGAUCGACGCCUGGUCGCAGAUAGUCAGGGAGGUAGGAGGCCGCAGACUCGACAACUGCGCCGUGCUGCCGGCGUUGGGCACCCGGGGCGGCGCUGCAAUCUUUUGGGACUCCACCAAGAUCACAAUCGCCACUCAAUCGGUAGGGCAAAUCUCCAUCACCGCCAGAGCAUUUCUCCCUCACGGAGGCCUCUCCUUUUGGAUCACAACUAUCUAUGGCCCGACCGACGACACCAGAAAGGAAGAAUUCCUCGAGGAGCUGAGCAGAAGUAGGCCACCCCUUGGCGAGCCGUGGCUGAUCAACGGUGACUUUAACAUCAUCUACGAGGCAAGAGACAAGAGCAACCAUAACAUCAACAGAAGGGUGAUGAGCAGAUUCAGAGAUGCAAUCGACCGGGCUUGCUUGCGAGAGAUAAAAUGCAAAAACACGCGCUUCACCUGGAGCAAUGAGAGGGAGAACCCAACUUUUGUCGCCAUCGACAAAGUUUUCUGCAACCGAGAAUGGGAGACACUCUUCCCCUCCUACACCCUUAUGGUUGCAUCGACAUCCUACUCUGAUCACUGCCCCUUGUUGCUCACGGAUGUCGCGGCGCCGCCGUGCAAAGCAGUUUUCAAAUUUAAAUCCUUCUGGCCAAAGUUCCCGCAUUUUCAGCAGACAGUCCGGAGGGCAUGGCAGAGACCAGUAAACCACUGA
rnacentral:rRNA from 1 species